rnacentral:rRNA from 1 species
GAUGAACGCUAGCGGCAGGCUUAAUACAUGCAAGUCGAGGGGGCAGCAAUGUCACCGGCGAACGGGUGCGUAACACGUAUGCAACCUACCUAUAUCAGGGGGAUAGCCCGAGGAAACCCGGAUUAAUACCGCAUCAUAUUAGGAUCGGCAUCGAUUUUAAUUGAAAGAUCUAUUGGAUAUAGAUGGGCAUGCGUAGGAUUAGCUAGUCGGUAAGGUAACGGCUUACCAAGGCUACGAACCUUAGGAGCUCUGAGCGGAGGAUCCCCCACACUGGCACUGAGAUACGGGCCAGACUCCUACGGGAGGCAGCAGUAGGGAAUAUUGGGCAAUGGGCGAAAGCCUGACCCAGCCAUGCCGCGUGCAGGACGACGGCCCUCUGGGUUGUAAACUGCUUUUGAAUGGGAAGAAAGGUAUGCUUGCGAGCGUAAUUGACGGUACCAUUAGAAUAAGCCACGGCUAACUACGUGCCAGCCGCCGCCGUAA